AUACGGAGGGGGCUAGCGUUGUUCGGAAUUACUGGGCGUAAAGCGCGCGUAGGCGGACUGGAAAGUUGGGGGUGAAAUCCCGGGGCUCAACCCCGGAACUGCCUCCAAAACUUCCAAUCUAGAGAUCGAGAGAGGUGAGUGGAAUUCCAAGUGUAGAGGUGAAAUUCGUAGAUAUUUGGAGGAACACCAGUGGCGAAGGCGGCUCACUGGCUCGAUACUGACGCUGAGGUACGAAAGCGUGGGGAGCAAACAGGAUUAGAAACCCCAGUAGUCC
rnacentral:rRNA from 1 species